rnacentral:tRNA from 1 species
GGUGGCUCAGUGGUUAAAGCACUCGGCUGCUAACCGAAAGGUCGGUGGUUUCAAUCCACCAGCCA